GCGAUCACAAAGAAGGAAAUAUAAAGGAGUUUCCCAGUAAUUGUCACUCCCCGACCUCGGGGAGUGCGGUGUUCAGCCGAGAUAACCCGGCCGAGCAAGCCUGCUAGAUAGCCUUCUACCCAAACUCACCCAUGAAUAAUGAGAAGAUAUAUUUUCAUUAAUUAGACAACAAGGAGAUCAUGUAUAUAACACCAAUUCAUUACCUUUAGUUACUUCAUUUUAAAGUCUCAAAAUACACACGCUUUCAUAGUUUGAAGUGGAACAAGUGGCUCAAACACAACACAACUAGUUUGACUUUCCCAACACCAAUAUACAACCCACAUUGUCUACGGAUCCUCUAAUAGAUACAAAGAGUAUUAUGAUAAUGCCGGCAACAAGGCUCGGCUAUACCUUAAAACAUAAUACGUAAGAACAAAAGAUACACGACCCCAAAAUGAAAUGGGGCUCACCAAGUCGGCUGGGAAGAGGGUGUACCGCCAUUAUUGACCAAUGCCGCCUGCUGUAGAACCACCUGCAUCCAUUAAAGAUAUAGCGUCCCCGGCAAAAUGGACGUUAGUACAUAUGAAUAGUAUUAGUAUACAUGACUAAACACCCUCUCAAUAGAACGAGUAAUAAUACAAGAAAGAACAAUCAUAGAAUCAGUGGAAUCCUCAAACAAUACCAAAACAUCAAGUUAGGAGCAAGAUAAGUUUUCAAGUAAAUUUCCAUAUUUAGGUUGAGAUAUCUUUAGUACUGGUAUACCACCCUGUUUUUAGCAUGGAGUCCUAUCUCGGCCCGAUCGGCUAACUCAUCUCAUCAGAGACAUCCAAUCCCAAC
rnacentral:lncRNA from 1 species